AAUGUAUGGCCUUAUAUUGUGUCCAUCCCUACAGCUGAAGACAUAUACAGCUCUGACAACACCAGCUACAGCAGCAUUGACAGGUCCAGCGUUAGAGAGCUUCAGUGUGUUGUGUCUGUCAGGUAACUGGUUUCAUUUUUAUGGUUUCGUGGGAUUACUCUGAACUGUUCAAACCUGAACCAUCUUCAUUUACUCCAGCCAUCAUCAUCACCCUCCUCUUCUUCAUGAUGCAGUUUUGCGUCAUAGUGGCAAUAAUUGUGAGAGCGGCAGGAAUCAGGACCAUCGGCCACGUGUGAGUUGUGUGAGUCAGGGUCUAACAGCUGUUCCUGAAGGGAUCGAUCCACACACACAGUUUCUGGUUCUCACACAAAACCAGUUCAGUUCCCUCUGCUGGUCUGCUUACUCUGGAUUCACACACCUGCAUGAGCUGGACUUGAGCUUCAAUCAAGUCUCUGAGCUGGAACUGCUAGGUAAAGAGAGACGCAUGAGCGCUAGAGCUGAUGGGACAUCAGUGUUAAAGAUCUAGACUAGUAGUCAGAGGAUUGCCAGUUCAAAGCUUGAAACUGUAGGGGGGUUCUAGAUUUUCCUUGAACUAUGUGUCGACUAGUCAGUGUUAAGGAACCCAUGUUUAAUUAGGCUGCAUUUUGUCCAUCUGACCCCAAUCAGAAGUGUUUCAUUGGGAUAUAUGGACCCUAAAGGAUAUUCAACAAAUAAAUAGACUAAAUAACUACAACGACUCCUGAAAAAUACUCUCCACAGCAUCUCACAAAUUAACAUGUGGAUUAUGCGAAAUAACAGGAACAUUGAUCACAGCUGAGGAUUUGACGUCCGACAGUGACUGUCUUGAAAUGCAUUAUUGAAUGCGGUGAGUUUGAACACGACUAUGGCACUUUGCGUUCAGUCGUUUAGUCCCUGUAGCAGUGGUGCAUUAAAGGACUAAAUGUAAAGAAUUAAAAAGACAAAACUUCUUGGAGAGAAAACCAGUUUGUGUGGAACUCGGCACAAAUAUUAUACCUACUGUAUAUAUAUCAUA